AACUUAAUCAAAAAAAAAAGCAAUAAUCUGAUACAAAUACACCAUGUAUAUGCAAGAAUAAUCAACUAGAAAUAAGACACAUAGAUCUAGUAAAUGUCUUUAUAAAAAUAAGCAGUAGAUUCUCAAAUCAUUCAAAAGAAUUAUAAAUGUU